rnacentral:rRNA from 1 species
UAGGGAAUCUUCGGCAAUGGACGAAAGUCUGACCGAGCAACGCCGCGUGAGUGAAGAAGGUUUUCGGAUCGUAAAACUCUGUUGUUAGAGAAGAACAAGGACGUUAGUAACUGAACGUCCCCUGACGGUAUCUAACCAGAAAGCCACGGCUAACUACGUGCCAGCAGCCGCGGUAAUACGUAGGUGGCAAGCGUUGUCCGGAUUUAUUGGGCGUAAAGCGAGCGCAGGCGGUUUCUUAAGUCUGAUGUGAAAGCCCCCGGCUCAACCGGGGAGGGUCAUUGGAAACUGUUAGACCUGGGUGCAGAAGAGGAGAGUGUAUUUCCAUGUGUAGCGCUCAAAUGCGUAGAUAUCUGGAGGAACACCAGUGGCGAAGGCGGCUCUCUAGUCUGUAACUGACGCUGAGGCUCGAAAGCGUGGGGAUCAAACAGG